UACGGAGGGGGCUAGCGUUGUUCGGAAUUACUGGGCGUAAAGCGCACGUAGGCGGAUUCGUAAGUCAGGGGUGAAAUCCCGGGGCUCAACCUCGGAACUGCCUUUGAUACUGCGGGUCUUGAGUCCGAUAGAGGUGGGUGGAAUUCCUAGUGUAGAGGUGAAAUUCGUAGAUAUUAGGAAGAACACCGGUGGCGAAGGCGGCCCACUGGAUCGGUACUGACGCUGAGGCGCGAAAGCCAGGGGAGCAAACGGGG
rnacentral:rRNA from 1 species